rnacentral:rRNA from 1 species
CAGUAGCCGCGGGAAUACGAAGGGGGCUAGCGUUGCUCGGAAUGACUGGGCGUAAAGGGCGCGUAGGCGGCGAUCAAAGUCAGGCGUGAAAUUCCUGGGCUCAACCUGGGGGCUGCGUUUGAUACUUGAUUGCUAGAGUGGGGAAGAGGGUCGUGGAAUUCCCAGUGUAGAGGUGAAAUUCGCAGAUAUUGGGAAGAACACCGGUGGCGAAGGCGGCGACCUGGUCCUUGACUGACGCUGAGGCGCGAAAGCGUGGGGAGCAAACAGGAUUAGAUACCCCUGUAGUCCCUGUCUCUUAUAC